GGCUUGGUGGUGUAGCUGGUAUCACUGCCUGCUUCAGUGCUUUUUCACAAGUGCCUUUCCAGAAAGUCCGGAGUUCAAUUCUCUGUCGAGCCA